rnacentral:rRNA from 1 species
AGAGUUUGAUCAUGGCUCAGAUUGAACGCUGGCGGCAGGCCUAACACAUGCAAGUCGAGCGGCAGCACGGGUACUUGUACCUGGUGGCGAGCGGCGGACGGGUGAGUAAUGCCUAGGAAUCUGCCUGGUAGUGGGGGAUAACGUUCGGAAACGAACGCUAAUACCCCAUACGUCCUACGGGAGAAAGCAGGGGACCUUCGGGCCUUGCGCUAUCAGAUGAGCCUAGGUCGGAUUAGCUAGUUGGUGAGGUAAUGGCUCACCAAGGCGACGAUCCGUAACUGGUCUGAGAGGAUGAUCAGUCACACUGGAACUGAGACACGGUCCAGACUCCUACGGGAGGCAGCAGUGGGGAAUAUUGGACAAUGGGCGAAAGCCUGAUCCAGCCAUGCCGCGUGUGUGAAGAAGGUCUUCGGAUUGUAAAGCACUUUAAGUUGGGAGGAAGGGCAUUUACCUAAUACGUAAGUGUUUUGACGUUACCGACAGAAUAAGCACCGGCUAACUCUGUGCCAGCAGCCGCGGUAAUACAGAGGGUGCAAGCGUUAAUCGGAAUUACUGGGCGUAAAGCGCGCGUAGGUGGUUCGUUAAGUUGGAUGUGAAAUCCCCGGGCUCAACCUGGGAACUGCAUCCAAAACUGGCGAGCUAGAGUAUGGUAGAGGGUGGUGGAAUUUCCUGUGUAGCGGUGAAAUGCGUAGAUAUAGGAAGGAACACCAGUGGCGAAGGCGACCACCUGGACUGAUACUGACACUGAGGUGCGAAAGCGUGGGGAGCAAACAGGAUUAGAUACCCUAGUAGUCC